rnacentral:lncRNA from 1 species
GCUCUGUCUCUCUCUCUAUAGCACCACCACCACCGCCACCUCCUCCCUCUCUCUCUCUCUUCUCUCUCUAUAGAUAUCAUCUAAAAUCACUCUCCCCUCAACUCUUUGUCCAUGUCUCUCUCUCUACAUUCCUUCCUGAAUUAUCAAAAACACCAGCCAUCAACCAUCAUCACUGUUACCAUCGUUGUUUGCAAACCGUCGCCCCCACCCUUUAAACUCUAGAUCCCAAGCCGUCGGAGAUAAAAAAACCUGAAAUUGAAGAUAUCACCGGUGGUUAUCGGUGGCCACAAACAAUGAAGAUACAGGUUUUGCUUGGUGGUAGUCGUUUUCCGGUGGCCACGAACAACGAAGAUAUCGGCGACACUACCAGAUCUGCAGAGAUAUGAACUCGCCGGAGAGUUUAGAGAGAAGGAUAGAGAGUUCCAUAUUUAAAUAUCCAAGAUUUGGGUACAGUGAAAUCAAAGUCACAAAAUUGGAAUAAGGCAUUGUAUGUGGAAAUAUAUAAAUAUUCAAUACUUGAAAAGAUCCAAGAGUUUUGCCAAUUUAAGAUGA